UGACCGCUGGCGGCGUGCCUAAUACAUGCACGUCGAGCGAACAGACGAGGAGCUUGCUCCUCUGACGUUAGCGGCGGACGGGUGAGUAACACGUGGAUAACCUACCUAUAAGACUGGGAUAACUUCGGGAAACCGGAGCUAAUACCGGAUAAUAUAUUGAACCGCAUGGUUCACUAGUGAAAGACGGUUUUGCUGUCACUUAUAGAUGGAUCCGCGCCGCAUUAGCUAGUUGGUAAGGUAACGGCUUACCAAGGCAACGAUGCGUAGCCGACCUGAGAGGGUGAUCGGCCACACUGGAACUGAGACACGGUCCAGACUCCUACGGGAGGCAGCAGUAGGGAAUCUUCCGCAAUGGGCGAAAGCCUGACGGAGCAACGCCGCGUGAGUGAUGAAGGUCUUCGGAUCGUAAAACUCUGUUAUUAGGGAAGAACAAAUGUGUAAGUAACUAUGCACGUCUUGACGGUACCUAAUCAGAAAGCCACGGCUAACUACGUG
rnacentral:rRNA from 1 species